rnacentral:rRNA from 1 species
AGCAGCCGCGGUAAUUCCAGCUCCAAUAGCGUAUAUUAAAGUUGUUGCAGUUAAAAAGCUCGUAGUUGAAUUUCGGGAUCAAUACGUCGGUCGUGCCUCUGGUAUGUACUGGUGUUAUUGAUUUCUCCCUUCUGAUGAACCAUGAUGUCAUUAAUUUGGUGUUGUGGGGAGUCAGGACUGUUACUUUGAAAAAUUAGAGUGUUUAAAGCAGGCUUACGCUUGAAUACAUUAGCAUGGAAUAAUGAAAUAGGACGUUCGAACCUAUUUUGUUGGUUUCUAGGAUCAACGUAAUGAUUAAUAGGGAUAGUUGGGGGCAUUAGUAUUCAAUUGUCAGAGGUGAAAUUCUUGGAUUUAUUGAAGACUAACUACUGCGAAAGCAUUUGCCAAGGAUGUUUUCAUUAAUCAAGAACGAAAGUUAGGGGAUCGAAGACGAUCAGAUACCGUCGUAGU